rnacentral:rRNA from 1 species
GACGAACGCUGGCGGCGUGCCUAAUACAUGCAAGUCGAGCGGACGAAUCGAAAGCUUGCUUUUGAUUCGUUAGCGGCGGACGGGUGAGCAACACGUGGGCAACCUGCCCUGUAGACGGGGAUAACACCGAGAAAUCGGUGCUAAUACCGGAUAACACGACAUGUCGCAUGACGUUUCGUUGAAAGACGGCGCAAGCUGUCGCUACAGGACGGGCCCGCGGCGCAUUAGCUAGUUGGUGAGGUAACGGCUCACCAAGGCGACGAUGCGUAGCCGACCUGAGAGGGUGAUCGGCCACACUGGGACUGAGACACGGCCCAGACUCCUACGGGAGGCAGCAGUAGGGAAUCUUCCGCAAUGGACGAAAGUCUGACGGAGCAACGCCGCGUGAGCGAAGAAGGCCUUCGGGUCGUAAAGCUCUGUUGUUAGGGAAGAACAAGUAACGCAGUAACUGGCGUUAUCGUGACGGUACCUAACGAGAAAGCCACGGCUAACUACGUG